UACGGGGGGUGCGAGCGUUGUCCGGAAUCACUGGGCGUAAAGGGCGCGUAGGUGGCUUGGUAAGCGCGUGGUGAAAGCCCGGGGCUCAACCCCGGGUCUGCCAUAUGAACUACUAUGGCUUGAGCACUGUAGAGGCAGGUAGAAUUCCGGGUGUAGCGGUGGAAUGCGUAGAGAUCCGGAAGAAUACCGGUGGCGAAGGCGGCCUGCUGGGCAGUGGCUGACACUGAGGCGCGACAGCGUGGGGAGCAAACAGG
rnacentral:rRNA from 1 species